ACGGAAGAGCACCUUUUGCUUUGCUAUGCCACUCUACCACUCUGUUUCUGCUUUUGAGCCAGCAAAUUAUGGACUGACAUUGUAAAGCAAAAUAAACCUCUUCUCCUUAACAUGUUGCCUAAAACUGAAAGUGAAGCAACAGAUGGAGAGGAGGACACGGAGAGCCGCCAGGGGUGCUUGCUAAUUAGCCGAUGCUAUUCUGCACACCAGCACUGUUCAAUCCUGAGCCACUAGUCGUAUUUGUGACAAACCUGCUCUAAGACCUUGAGUCACAGUAUGGGAGUUAAAUACCGGCUCAGGACUCAGUUGAUGACUUGGGAAGAAUAUCCAAGACUUCAAUAUAUCCUUGGACUUCUGGAAGUCUAUGUGUCUUCCUUGCUAAGUGGACAGGCAAGU